rnacentral:rRNA from 1 species
CGCGUAGGUGGUUUGUUAAGCGAGAUGUGAAAGCCCCGGGCUUAACCUGGGAACGGCAUUUCGAACUGGCAGGCUAGAGUGUGGUAGAGGGUAGUGGAAUUUCCUGUGUAGCGGUGAAAUGCGUAGAUAUAGGAAGGAACACCAGUGGCGAAGGCGGCUACCUGGACCAACACCGACACUGAGGUGCGAAAGCGUGGGGAGCAAACA